rnacentral:tRNA from 1 species
GCAUUGGUGGUUCAGUGGUAGAAUUAUCACCUUUCAUGAGGGAGACCUGGGUUCCAUUCCCAACCAAUGCA